CAUUUCCUACUGUGUUUGUAUAAAUAGAUUCAUAUUGAGCCAACACAUUUUUAAAGGGAAUCGGACUCUUCUUGUGGAAUUGAUGCUUAGAUUUUAUUUAAGAACAAGAAGCAAGAAGGAGAUGCCCACCUGCUAAGGGCAGGUUCAAACAUAAUCUAUUUAAGCGGCACGGUGGGAUUUUA
rfam:Clostridium tetanomorphum DSM 665 contig2, whole genome shotgun sequence.